UCUCUCCAAGAAUCUUAAUGAAACAGCUCUCUGAGGAGCUCUUAGCUUGUGCACACCCUUUAUUUGGAGGGAACCAGGGCUCUGUAUAUGAACCUUGGCGUGUGGGAAGGGGAUCUUCUUAGGGUGGAGUUUCAUUGUCUGAGGCUCAAGGUUCUGGGGAUGCCUCAUUUGCAUGGAGACUCAUUCCAGGAAGUUUAACCUGUAGUUUCUCCACGGAUUAUGUGACAUUCCCCAGGUAGAGUGUGGGUCAGCCUCCUCAGAUCAGGCAGAGAAGAAGCAGUGACACCCCGUAGACUACAAUGUUACUAGUGAGGUGCAACACGUGGUUGUGCUAAGUGAAAGAGAAGUAAUUGGUGACCUGUACGUUGGAAAUCUAUCGUCAAGGCUCCUCAGAGAAUGGUGGCAUCCGCAUGUUCUAAAGCUGCAGUUCCGGCCCUGUCAGAGGUUACCCACCAGACACUUAGACGGACUCAAAGGAAGGCUUGGUGAUUUCAAUGAGUUGAACCUACUUUCGAAUUCUGGACAGACGCUUGUGGUACCCAUGGGCUCCUGACCCAGAGGACAGAUGAACUAGCAAAGGUUAGAGCAGCCUAUCACUCCGCUCGGAGAUUCCCAACUGGAUGAUGAAAUCAAAUGGAGCUGAAGGGUUUGUUCGGCUUCUCUGGUUUCAUUAGUGACAACGAGACAAAGCGUAGCCUUCAGCAAAAUUUGAAAGAGCAUCCUGUGUGCAUCAUGUGACCACUGUUAAAAUAACAAUCUAAUCAAACUCCUGCUAUCUGCUAUGGUUUAUCAUUAACAGUCCCAGGAAUAUAAGAUGGAGGAACACCCGGUGUGGCCUAGCGUGGGGACUUGAGCUGCAUGUUUGCUGUUUCUUGCAAAGGUCAGAAACAUUAAUCCCAGCCCUUGAGAGGCAGUGGCAGAUUCUGUGAGUUCAAGGCCAGCUUGGUCUACAGAGUGAGUUUCAGGCCAGCAGGGACUACAUAACAAGACCCUAUCUAAAAUAAAUAAAUAAAUAAAUAAACAAACAAACAAACAAAUAAGGUGAGAACCACAGAAAUGUGGACAUUUCUAACUCGUAGAGCUGUGUCCCUCCUGUCUGCAUAGCUGGCACCAUAGCCACCCUUAAAGGGCAGACCACAGUUAAUCACGUCCCUGGGACAAUCACUGAAGACACCUGAACUGGCCACUGAAUUCUAUUUCUCAGCAGAAGGAGAGCUGUUCCUUCCUCAUUGGCUCUGCAGGCAAAGGUGCUUGCAGUGCAAACCUUAUCAUCACAAUAGUUUGAAAUGCAGAUCCACGGGAUGGAAGGAGGGACUCAAUUCCAGUCCUUAAAAGACAAAACAACAGGGGUUGGGGAUCUAGCUCAGUGGUAGAGCGCUUGCCUAGCAAGCACAAGGCCCUGGGUUCGGUCCCCAGCUCCGAAAAAAAAAAAAAAAAAAAAAAACAACAACAAACCAAAAAUCCUGGAUUGCUUUUUUACUGUUUUCUCUGUUCAUAGAAAAAAGAGGAAACUAUAUUUUCUUUAACCCCUGCCCCAAGUUCAUUCUUGGCCACUGUUUGGUUUCAGACCUGGGACAAGGGACUGGGGUGCAUAUUUUACACAUCAAAGCAGACAGGGCCUCCAGGUUCUCCCAGCAUCCCUCAGUCCUACCUGGCAUACCCUGCCCCAACCUUGAACUUUCUAGCACAGGGGCUGGGCUGCCCUUUCCCCAGAGGCUCUUCACUAUAUAAUCCAGUCAUUUUUGCAUGCCUCCUCCCUCCCCCUUCCCCUCCCCUUCCUCUUCCCCUCUACCUCUUCCUCCCCUCCCUUCUGUCUCUGCAGGAGUGCACCCAUUGUCUCUUUCUCUCUUACCGACCCCCCACCCAGGCGACUCCCCUGGACUCAUUCCCCGGGGCCAGUGAACCUGCCCUAGUGCAGCUUCCCAAUAAACUGCCUUUAAUAUAAUGUAGUCUGUCUUAAAUUCGUUCAUUUCACCAGCGGCAGAGACAUAGCCUACCAGUCACCAUGUCUUCUGUAGUUAUUUUUUUGUCAAAAACAUACCCCCCCUGCCCCAGCACUGCACUCAGACCAGAGAGGAACACAGUCUGCCCCUCACAGUACUGAUAAUCCAGGGUAUGCAAAGAAAAAAAAGGUAAUUUAUGGAGUAUAGGUAAGCAGCAAAAUAAAUUACACACAGCAGUCCCAGGGCAGGCAGGGCACGAUGGCUCUGUCCCUUCACCUGCUCUUCUCUGACUCCUGUUUCCUUUUCUGCUUCUACUCUUCGUGAACAUGGAAGGAAGCCUAACUGUGGCUGGGGUUCAAGCAGGCCUGGACAUAUCUAACUGGUGGGGCAGGAUUUGCCCUGCCCUUGGCAGAGACUCAAAACGGGCCUGCUACUUAAACGCAUCCAGACAAGUUUAGCAAACGGAGGGGAGGCGAGAUAUGUGCAAAAGAUAGAUGCCAGGAAGAAUGAAAAUUGGAAAACAGAAGAACCUGCUAUGGAGAUAUUGUGUCCCCACAAAUCAUAUAUUGAAGUUUUACCUCUUGAAGCGAUAUUUGAAGGCGAGACCUUUGAGAGGGCCCAUGGAAACCAGAAGAGGGUGUCAGGCCCCCAGGACCUGGACUUACAAUCACGUGUAAGCUGACAUGUGGCUGUUGGAAACUGAAUCCAGUCCUCCCAAAGAGCAGCUCAACGCUCUAAACCACUGAGCCAUCUCUCCAGUCCUUGUCUAAACCACUGAGUGAUCUCUCCAGUCCUCAUCUUUCUUUUUUCUUUUCUUUUCUUUACAUUAAAUUUAUCUUAUAUGUAGGAGUGCUUUGCCUACUUAUGUUCUUUGCAGCAUGUGCUGACUGGUGUUCUCAGAGGCCAGAGGUGUCAGAUCCCCUGGAACUGAAGUUACAGGUGGUUGUUAGUUGCCGUGUAGAUGCUAUGAAUCAAACCUAGGCCCAGGGACAGGUUGGCAGUGUCACUUGCCUUUAUGGGAGGUGGAGGCAGGUGGAUUUCUGUGAGUUCAAGGCCAGCCUGGUCUGCAGAGCAAGUUCCAAGACAGCCAGACCUACACAGAGAAAUCCUGUCUCGAACAAAAACAAAACAAACAAAAAAAUCAAACCCUAGGCCCUCUGGAAGAAUUGCCAGUGUUCCUAACUGGCUUCUUUCCCACCCCACCCCCCAAAGACAGUCUUUCUAAAUUCAACUCCUGUACUAAGUCCCAACCAAACCGAAAUGGAAUCAGUUAUACUAAGUACUACAUAUCAAAUUGAAACCUUUAAUCAGGUAAGACUCAAAACAGAGUCUUACAAGCAAAACUGAGAGGCAGAGGCUGGUGACACAGCUAAGCUGUAAAGAGCACUUGUUACUCUUCCAAAGGGUUUCAGAUCCGAGCUACGAAUUCAAGAAUUCACAAUGUGAGUAACCGCACUUGCGGCCAAAGUUGACCGAUCAGUUACUUUUCUCUUGAUGGGAUAAAGCAAUUUUAAUCACAAGAACCCACGGAAAAAGAGGUUUUUUUUUUGGGCAAUGGUGGUUCCAGGGAGAUGAGAAUCCCCCGCAGUGGGUUGGCAAGGCAGCUAACAGCAGGCACGACCGUAGGAACAUAAAGAUCACACUUCUAACCGUAAACAGGAAG